rnacentral:rRNA from 1 species
UACGAAGGGUGCAAGCGUUAAUCGGAAUUACUGGGCGUAAAGCGUGCGUAGGCGGUUUGUUAAGUCUGUUGUGAAAUCCCCGGGCUCAACCUGGGAAUGGCAAUGGAUACUGGCAGGCUAGAGUGUGUCAGAGGAUGGUGGAAUUCCCGGUGUAGCGGUGAAAUGCGUGGAGAUCGGGAGGAACAUCAGUGGCGAAGGCGGCCAUCUGGGACAACACUGACGCUGAGGCACGAAAGCGUGGGGAGCAAACAGG